rnacentral:rRNA from 1 species
GAUGAACGCUGGCGGCGUGCCUAAUACAUGCAAGUCGAGCGAACAGACGAGGAGCUUGCUCCUCUGACGUUAGCGGCGGACGGGUGAGUAACACGUGGAUAACCUACCUAUAAGACUGGGAUAACUUCGGGAAACCGGAGCUAAUACCGGAUAAUAUAUUGAACCGCAUGGUUCAAUAGUGAAGGACGGUUUUGCUGUCACUUAUAGAUGGAUCCGCGCCGCAUUAGAUAGUUGGUAAGGUAACGGCUUACCAAGGCAACGAUGCGUAGCCGACCUGAGAGGGCGAACGGCCACACUGGAACUGAGACACGGUCCAGACUCCUACGGGAGGCAGCAGUAGAGAAUCUUCCGCGAUGGGCGAAAGGCUGACGGAGCAACGCCGCGUGAGUGAUGAAGGUCUUCGGAUCGUAAAACUCUGUUAUUAGGGAAGAACAAAUGUGUAAGUAACUAGGCACGUCUUGACGGUACCUAAUCAGAAAGCCACGGCUAACUACGUG